rnacentral:pre_miRNA from 1 species
AGAACGCACAUUAAUUAUCCCUAAGGCCAUGGGAUAAAUAAAAACCUUGCAAAAACAAGUUAGUACACCUUAGAAUGGUUUUAGCACUAUUACUAACCUAUGGCUCUAAUACCAAUUGAUGGGAAAAACCC